AAAUUGAAGAGUUUGAUCAUGGCUCAGAUUGAACGCUGGCGGCAGGCCUAACACAUGCAAGUCGAACGGUAACAGGAAGCAGCUUGCUGCUUCGCUGACGAGUGGCGGACGGGUGAGUAAUGUCUGGGAAACUGCCUGAUGGGGGGGGAUAACUACUGGAAACGGUAGCUAAUACCGCAUAAUGUCGCAAGACCAAAGAGGGGGACCUUCGGGCCUCUUGCCAUCGGAUGUGCCCAGAUGGGAUUAGCUUGUUGGUGGGGUAACGGCUCACC
rnacentral:rRNA from 1 species